rnacentral:rRNA from 1 species
CACGUAGGGGACGAGCGUUGUCCGGAUUCAUUGGGCGUAAAGAGCGUGUAGGCGGCCGUACAGGUCAGCUGUGAAAACUCGAGGCUCAACCUCGAGACGUCGGUUGAAACCGUACGGCUAGAGUCCGGAAGAGGAGAGUGGAAUUCCCGGUGUAGCGGUGAAAUGCGCAGAUAUCGGGAAGAACACCCGUGGCGAAGGCGGCUCUCUGGGACGGUACUGACGCUGAGACACGAAAGCGUGGGUAGCAAACAGG